CUAGUUAAGCAGGAUGGUUGGGCCUCAAAGAAACCAAAGCAAAACGAAGCAGAGAAAGUCCACACCACGUGCUCUCUGAAGCCAGACAAGCUUGCAGCUUGCUACAGGGUGAAGCAUUUUAUAGCUAGACUUUACUGCAGGAACAGGAGGGUACAGAGGCUUUUGGAUGACAAAGAAGCAAGGGGAGGUCCGUCGACGCUUCCACAGCCAUACACUCUCGAGAGCCCCCCCAAGUUAGGAUUUUUAUGAGCAUGUGGCUUUAUGGGUCUCGUUUAAGUGUUUUUUUUCCCCACAGUAUGCAUCUCAUUUUUAUGCGUAUUCAACGAGUCAUUCGAUUAGUUUGAUGUCUUGCUUUUAAAAAUGUUCUCUUCACAAAAUGUUUUUCCAUGGGAAUUCAAGCCAUAUAAUCAAAAUAAUAAAGAAUCAAUGUCAAUGCUGAAUUGAAUUGGAGAACAGGGACUGUUUUUCUAAAUUCCGCCAGUAAUGUCAUUUCUGUGAAACAUGGUUUCAAUCAUAGAAACCUUGUCUUCGCCGUUCUUCCCAGUGGUGUUAGUAGUUCAAAGAGUUAAAAACAUAAUCUUAAAAGGGAGAAAUUCAUGGCUUAUAAUGAUUCCAAUAGAAUCAAAUUGAAAUAUUGAUUAGUUCUUUUGGGGUUGAGUCAGAUGUGGUUUAGGCUUUUCUUGGACCGCUACAAUUGAUAUUAGAUCGAAAUCCUUGAUUUAAAUUGCGAAACUUUCACAAUGUUUGAGACUGAAAUAUUCUUCUCCUUUCGAAAUAUAAACACAAUGUUGAAGUAAAAACCCAGACAGCUAUAUAGUCCAAAUUUUCCAUAAAGUACAUUCUAAAAAAACAAUCCAUAAAAUUACAAGAAUAAUGUUAGAUACACUCGGUGUGUAAGUCAUACACACUCCCUUUGAAAAAGUGGGGUCUACUGUUAAAAAAAAAUGAUGAGUCUCACUUUUUUUUUUUUUUAAAGGGAGUGUGCUGACUUAUGCACAUUAAGAAAUAUUAUUUCUCAAAGUUGCAAUUGCUUGGCAGUAUUUGGCUGUGCAAAUUAAUCAUUAGAAAACAAAGAGAGAUCCACGUCCUUGGUAGAGUCUGGUAUUUUGGUUUGAGGGGGCGGCAGGGCUUUUUCCCUUCACUAAUUAUAUGUUCUCAUCAAUACCUUUUAGGGCCAAUGAUACUGCUGACAGCUGCAAGUUUUGCAGGCUUAUGUGCAUCUUCCUGCGCAUGCUUAUCAGGUGAAUGUUUGUUUUUGUGCUGUAACCGUGUUAAACAUUUUAGGCCUCUUAAAUUUUCAAUUAGCAAAAGCCUAAAGCUUAAUCUGAUAGCAGAGCUCCAUCAAUAAAUAAUAUUUUGAAUUUCAUUCC